AGUGAACGCUGGCGGCAGGCCUAACACAUGCAGGUCGAGCGGCAGCGCAGCAGUAGCAAUACUGUGGGCGGCGAGCGGCGGACGGGUGAGGAACACAUCGGAAUCUACCUUGUCGUGGGGGAUAACGUAGGGAAACUUACGCUAAUACCGCAUACGACCUACGGGUGAAAGCGGCGGACCGCAAGGCGUCGCGCGAUUGGAUGAGCCGAUGUCCGAUUAGCUAGUUGGCGGGGUAAAGGCCCACCAAGGCGACGAUCGGUAGCUGGUCUGAGAGGACGACCAGCCACACUGGAACUGAGACACGGUCCAGACUCCUACGGGAGGAAGCAGUGGGGAAUAUUGGACAAUGGGCGCAAGCCUGAUCCAGCCAUGCCGCGUGGGUGAAGAAGGCCUUCGGGUUGUAAAGCCCUUUUGUCCGGAAAGAAAACCUGUCGGUUAAUACCCGGCGGGGAUGACGGUACCGGAAGAAUAAGCACCGGCUAACUUCGUGCCAGCAGCCGCCGUAAUAC
rnacentral:rRNA from 1 species